rnacentral:rRNA from 1 species
GAUGAACGCUGGCGGCGUGCCUAAUACAUGCAAGUCGAGCGAACGGACGAGAAGCUUGCUUCUCUGAUGUUAGCGGCGGACGGGUGCGUAACACGUGGAUAACCUACCUAUAAGACUGGGAUAACUUCGGGAAACCGUAGCUAAUACCGGAUAAUAUUUUGAACCGCAUGGUUCAAAAGUGAAAGACGGUCUUGCUGUCACUUAUAGAUGGAUCCGCGCUGCAUUAGCUAGUUGGUAAGGUAACGGCUUACCAAGGCAACGAUGCAUAGCCGACCUGAGAGGGUGAUCGGCCACACUGGAACUGAGACACGGUCCAGACUCCUACGGGAGGCAGCAGUAGGGAAUCUUCCGCAAUGGGCGAAAGCCUGACGGAGCAACGCCGCGUGAGUGAUGAAGGUCUUCGGAUCGUAAAACUCUGUUAUUAGGGAAGAACAUAUGUGUAAGUAACUGUGCACAUCUUGACGGUACCUAAUCAGAAAGCCACGGCUAACUACGUG